rnacentral:lncRNA from 1 species
CCCAGGGAACAAGACAUUGGCAGCAGCCAUUAUUGUGACCUAGUACAGGCAUGCUGACACAGAUGCCAGCAGACGCCAUUGGAGUUCUUCCUCUGGCCUGUUAGCCCAGGGGUUGGCACCACAUACUAAAGCACUGAUUUAAUCCAGUUCAGCCGUGGCAGGCAGUUGGCCCUUGGCACUGGCUGGCCCCACUCAACAGCAAGCCCUCAGGCAAUUCAUGGGCCCACAUAAGCAGGGUGCCUGAAAACUCUGGCUGCCAGAGAAAGUGUCUCCUAGUGUCAGUUGAUGACCAUCAUCUUCUUGGGCAGAACUUGGAGGUUGACCACCUCAAGGACCACCGCUCAGGCCAUACACGGACUCACCUUGGCUCAGACGUCUCUACUUCCUGCAGCCUCCCAUCACAGUUAACAAGGCAAGAGAUUCUACACGGUGGCAGAAGCCUGAUGAGCUUCUCCUUUACUUCCUAAUAAAAUAUCCUUGAAGACAUACAAACAUGUGAAAUCUGGCUUUGGGACCAAACGAUAAGAAAAGAUUUUGGAAAAUCCUGAUGGAAUCCCCGCUAAAUGCACCAUCAGUCCAGAUGGAUUGAGAAGUACAUUAUUGAACCACCCUAUCACCUACUCUACCCUCUGAAACAGAAGAAAAGGCCACCCCACCCCCAGCACAUCAGUACUGAAAACAAAAUGAGAAGACCAAAAGAAAGAAAAAAAACAGAAUCAUGAAAGAAGAUAGUACAGGUGGAGGGUGGAGGACAGAGGCCAGCUAAGAAUUAUAAAUGUUCCAAUGAAAGAAAAAAUAAUGGACAGAAAUGAUCAUCAAAUAGAGGAAAACAUCUCAGUUGGAAAAAUACG